GACGUAGGGUCUAAGCGUUGUCCGGAUUUACUGGGCGUAAAGCGCGCGUAGGCGGUCUGUUAAGUGCACAAGUGAAAGCUCCGGGCUCAACUCGGAAAUUGCUUUGCAUACUGGCAGGCUGGAGGGACGCAGAGGUCUGUGGAAUUCCUGGUGUAACGGUGAAGUGUGUUGAUAUCAGGAGGAACACCCAUGGCGAAGGCAGCAGACUGGGCGUUUCCUGACGCUGAGGCGCGAAAGCGUGGGUAGCAAACAGG
rnacentral:rRNA from 1 species